UAGCUCACUAGUCGAGAGGUCCUGCGCCGAAAAUGUCCGGGGCUGAAACACACUACCGAAGCUUAGGAAUUGACGAAUGUUAAUUGGUAGAGGAGCAUUCUUAACGGGGCGAAGCUGUACCGGAAGGAGCAGUGGACUGUUAAGAAGAGAGAAUGCCGGAAUGAGUAGCGAGAGGAAGGUGAGAAUCCUUCCGGCCGAAUAUCUAAGGUUUCCAGAGUAAAGCUGAUCUGCUCUGGGUAAGUCGGGGCCUAAGGCGAGGUCGAAAGACGUAGUCGAUGGAUAACAGGUAAAGAUUCCUGUACUAUAUCAUAACAGAACUGUGGGGACGCAGACAGAGAGCAUAAGCCGGGAAUGGAAAAACCGGUACAAGCGAGGUAGGAGUGCAUCAGGCAAAUCCGGUGCACAAUCUGAAGACGUGAUGUGGGGCGUAAAGCCGGAAGUAUGUGAGCUGGCUGCCAAGAAAAGCCGCUAUUGUUUAUGAUAUACCCGUACCGUAAACCGACACAGGUGGAUGAGGAGAGAAUCCUAAGGCCGACGGGAGAAGCAUUGUUAAGGAACUCGGCAAAAUGACUCCGUAACUUCGGGAGAAGGAGUGCCAUGCGAAUGGCCGCAGAGAAUUGGCCCAAGCAACUGUUUAGCAAAAACACAGGUCUAUGCAAAACCGAAAGGUGAGGUAUAUGGGCUGACGCCUGCCCGGUGCUGGAAGGUUAAGGGGAGUGGUCAGGAAACGAAGCCACGAACUUAAGCCCCAGUAAACGGCGGCCGUAACUAUAACGGUCCUAAGGUAGCGAAAUUCCUUGUCGGGUAAGUUCCGACCCGCACGAAAGGCGUAAUGAUUUGGGCACUGUCUCAACAAUGCACCCGGUGAAAUUGAAAUACCAGUGAAGAUGCUGGUUACCUGCGCCAGGACGGAAAGACCCCAUGGAGCUUUACUCCAGCUUGAUACUGGGAUUCGGUUAUACAUGUACAGGAUAGGUGGGAGGCUAAGAAAUGAGGACGCCAGUCUUCAUGGAGCCGCUGUUGGGAUACCACCCUUGUGUGACUGGGUUUCUAACCUGCAGCCGUGACCCGGCUGGGGGACAAUGUCAGGUGGGGAGUUUGACUGGGGCGGUCGCCUCCGAAAGGGUAUCGGAGGCGCUCAAAGGUUCCCUCAGAAUGGUCGGAAACCAUUCGAAGAGUGCAAAGGCAGAAGGGAGCUUGACUGCGACACCGACGGGUGGAGCAGGUACGAAAGUAGGACUUAGUGAUCCGGUGGUAUGAAAGUGGGAUUGCCAUCGCUCAACGGAUAAAAGCUACCCUGGGGAUAACAGGCUUAUCACUCCCAAGAGUUCACAUCGACGGAGUGGUUUGGCACCUCGAUGUCGGCUCAUCGCAUCCUGGGGCUGAAGUCGGUCCCAAGGGUUGGGCUGUUCGCCCAUUAAAGCGGUACGCGAGCUGGGUUCAGAACGUCGUGAGACAGUUCGGUCCCUAUCCGGCGUGGGCGUAGGAUAUUUGAGAGGAGCUGUCCUUAGUACGAGAGGACCGGGAUGGACUGACCUCUGGUGUACCGGUUGAACCGCCAGGUUCACGGCCGGGUAGCCAAGUCGGGAAGGGAUAAACGCUGAAGGCAUCUAAGCGUGAAGCCCCCCUCAAGAUGAGAUAUCCCAUUCGAAAGAAGUAAGACCCCUUGA
rnacentral:rRNA from 1 species